CGUCUAUCAUCGGUAUAAAUAACCCCUCGCUAUCGUAAUCUUAACGUCGUUCGUGAGAUUUGGGUUUAUCGUAGAGUUUCGCUUCGUUUCGUGCUUUCUCUGGGAUCGAUGAAAGAGCGAGAGUUGAUAUUCUCAUCGUGCGGUCUCUAAUUCGCUUGGUGCAGGUCGGGAACCGACGCUGCUGUUACUGCCGUUUAAUGAAUGGGGCGGUGGUUGCCGGUGGCGAAUUGGUUCCCGCCUUGCAUCAACUGAAUCGGAGGCUGCCGUUGUU